AGCCAAACCUGCAAAAACAUUGGAGAGAGUGGAAAGGAGAACCAUGAGACUAAUUCCUGGGAUGAGAGGGUCUCUACCCCACAAUAGAGACAAACCAUUUUUCUGUGGUCCUUGAAGUUUAGAUGCCGUGUGGUUACCUUGUUCAAACUCCUGUGAGGCAACAAGCUGUGGUCCCUAUUACAACAUAGUCCGGGACACGUGUGGGAAUUCUUCCGCUGUGUGAAAUGGUGAGUAGGAGCUCAGGACUGGGAUGAAAGUUCUGGAGGAGAACCCGUGCCACUGCAAUGCUGCUCUUCCUGUGAGGACUUAAGUGCUACUAGCAGGGGUUAGAGGAUUGCCUGGUACACGGACAGAAAUACAUCCAAAACCACCAGACACACACGGGACAGGAAGGUAGGGACAGUACGAAGUGGAAAGUGCUGUACCCAGAGCUGAUAUACCAGCGGUUUAGUCCAGUGGGCGGGACAGACACACCUUCUACAGCAAUGCCCUAACAGCUGAUACUCAGCCAUUUAGAAGGUGGAACCGCACAGAUAGAAGAUUGCGAGAGAGGAGUUGGUGACUGAACCGAGGUUAUUCCAUGGACAGAACGUGCUUGCGUACCACACCUCGUCGCAAACUUUAAGAACAAAAUUUGUGUUACGUAAUGCAAUCUAAUCACGUAUAUUGCAGACAGACCGACGAUGGAUGACUCGACACGAAUUUGUGUACUAAUGUACUUCAGAAGAUUAGAGAGAUUCUUAUCGACAGGAUCGGAUCCAGAGGAGGUUCCUGCUCCGGUGGGUAUAAUCUUCUUCUCGCUGUUCGCACAUCACACUUCAUUGUAAACUUCUAACCAGUAAAAUCAGUGACGUGUCUGAUGUGUUCCUGGGGUGGCAGUUAAGGGUGGGGGAUAGCUUGUGGGGAGUAGGCUGAGAGAACUGUAUCCGGUCAGUCAGUAACAGCACCGAGAGCAGCAGCAGAGAAGGAGCACCCCUGGGCUCAGAGGUCAGUUUUUCACCAAUACCCAGUUAACAAGGCUCGGACUGAAGUGCGUGUUCUCCAGUUGGACAGGGGAAUAUCCUGCAGGGCGGUGAGAGCCCGUCUGUACUGAGCGAGGGAUUGACUGUGCUGUCCAUCUGCAGCCAAGAAAAGAACGCGAGGAGCUCGGGGAAACUUCAGUGUAAUGGUGAGAUAUGAGGGCUGUGGAAGUGGGGCUGGGUGCAAUGUUUCUUCAGUGUACAGGCCGCUGCCUCCCGAUGACGUAGCCCGAAGCUCAGCUUUGGCUUCUCAGCAUGCCUGAGUCGCGCUCCACACUUUCUCCCGUAUCAUCGGUGCCUCACGUAAUUAUGUUAGUUUUUCAUUCCCUUCCGAACCGUAUAACCACCUGGAACCUGCUCCGGCCCUUCACCCAUACACAGCUUCGUGAGUCGUUCCAGACCGAUACCCUUCCCUGUCUCCGGGUACCCGCCAGUCGAGCAUUCCGGAGAUCGUUGUCUCAUUUUUAACUACAUUGUAUUUGCGGUUUAUUGAAUGGUAAUAAACUGAAUCUGCCAGUCCGUGUCGUUACCUGUAGAAUUUACCUCUAGUCAUCGUCACCUUUGAGGGUUUCUGUUGACUGCUGCGUCUUUCCUCCUAAAUAAUCCUGAGUAGGUAUGAUCCCGGGGAUUUGUUCAUUUAAGAGGAAGGGUCUGCAUCGAGUUAGCGUCUUCCCAGUUCUUGCAAUGUACUGCCCUAUUUAACGCUAAACUGUACAGUACUUAACUGUGAUGGGAGGUGUGCUUUGGUGCACAGCAAGCUGCCAGAAACAUCAGUGAGUCAGUCAACUAGGAAUCCCGCUGCAAUACAGUCAGAGGCACGGGUGAGGUCCCUUGCUCGGUGUGCAAUGGGGUGCGGGAUUUUUAUGUGUACCUGAAAGGCGACAUAGGGAAUGGACUGAAAGAUUAUGAGUAGAAACGGCGCCUCUGACAGUGCUUCGCCUCCUGAGUUCCAGUAGUAGAGGUGGAAGGACUGCAUCUCCCAUACACCACUCGGACACGCGUUGGGGCAGAAAUUUAGGACAAAGUUCGAAGAUGCUGAGCCCAUGACUGAUGUACCCCGCGGGUUCCUGCAGUGGGUGGGACAUGCAGCCCUCCCACAGCCUCACCAGGAUCACUCUGUUACUCUGUAUUUCAGGAGAUAAUAGAGCACGGAAGGAAGAUAUUUGUGUCGUGAUUCUGUUGGAAAUGAUUUUCUCUGGAUCUCCGAAUAUUGCAAAAAAUGUAAUGGUUGAUUCGGAGUUAUUCCAUGAAGGAACACAAUGUUUCCGCAUAUUUUGGGCAGACACCGGUUGCAAGUGGAGUCCCCAACAAUCAUCAGCUCACCCGAGCGACAGGGCGAUAUCCAGCCAAGUUAACCGCUACGGUGGGUACAAUCCGCUCUCCCUAGCCGCAAGUCACAGAGUGUUGUAAAAUUCCCGCAUAGAAAGUCAUCCACGCAUCCAAUAUCUCCAGGGCGGGAAUAGUGGGAGACUGACAGAACCGUACACUGCUGGGCUCCUACAUGGGCUGAUGUCAGUUUGUCAUUAAUUCCCAAUCAUCAAGCUUACGGCUGACGUGUUGUGGUAAACUAUGUAUACCUGUCUGGACAAGCCCCUCUGCUGACUGCUACAGUGGCUCCUCCCACAGACCCCUGUAUAAAGGUGAUUGGAAACAGUGCUCCCCCCUCAGUCGCCAAGAUGCCGUGCUCUAUUUUGCUGUUAAAAAAGCCUAAAGUUCACCUCCCGUCUCCGAGAGUUAUUGAUGGUGCAUCACAUGUGUGUUGUCAAUAGGGCCCUGGAAGAUGCUACAGAGAAGUGAGAACCGGUCAAGACGAAGAGAAGGACUCAUUUCCUGUUUUCUAUUGGACUGCAAACAGGACUGGGAAGGACUCUCAAAGUUAUGGUGAGAAAUCAGAAUUGCCGGCGUUGGGCUGGAAUGACCCUUCACUGUACAUCCUAAUGCUCAACUGUGGCUUCUCAGCAGCGGUCUUACAGCUUCUAGGCAGUGGAGGGGAGACUAACGGAUGUUAGUCGGGUUCUUACUAUCUCUUUUAGAGUCGAUAUAUCAUGCUAUAGGCAUGCUCUCCACCCCACCCGCCCACCGGCUCCUAAAUCGCUCUGCCAACACCAACUCUCUGUUUCUAUAUUCCUCCGCCCCCAACCUUUCCCGUGUUGUCAUGUCCUCCAACGAUUGCAUACCUUUUACCGUCUGUUGCCAUUCCCUUCUCUGUAAUGCCUUCUGGCUUAUAUACCUAUCUUGCAAUUUUACAACAAGUCCGUCAGGUGACAUAUAUGAAAUACUUUGUGAACGUUGGAUAAUCCUGUUGAAAAAGCAAUGAAGUUAAAAGGAGCGCAGAAGUAUUUACAAGGAAGUUUGCCAGGACACGAGGGCCUGCUAGAGGGAAGGUUUGAGACGGCGUCAGCCGUGCCGCUCUGAGUUCCACCGGGAACGGUAGAGGGUAUGGGCUCUGCUUUCAUUCGGGCACGGUACUCCUGAGCUGUUGGACAACUGUGUUCUGGCUGCUGAAGGUUGGGGGUGGGGUGCGGAAGUCUCUGGUCCCGACCCUAUUACGGUGGGUGUCGGGAAGACGUAGGGUAGUGGAGGGAUUCCGACUGCACCACCAACAAUGUGCUUAUCGGACUCAGGCCUCGGGAGACCACGAGGGAGAGGGUCCCAUACAACGUGAGCCGACUCACGGCAUUGCGUUCCAUGACGCUUCGAAGCGUUUCUUGUACGGGCUGCUCCUGAACACCUUUCACUUCCUUGCUUGCGUCUGCCGACCGGACUCACCUUGGCAGUCCGUGUUACCGUCAGGCAGCAGAGGAGGUCUCUUCAGGCAGGGCUGCUUCCAUUGUACAUUGGGAACCUCGGGUGGAAGGUGUUGCAUCGGGCUGUACUGUACAACUGAUUCUUGAGCAGUUUCACUGACAGCCCGUCCAGCUGUCCAUUCUGUGGGCAGGAGGAGUCGGUGUACCACGCAAACACGGAAUGUGAGAAGUUGUAGUCGCUCUUUUAGUUCCUCAGAGAGCUGCGGCUACGGUUCUGGCACUCCUCAGAUUUCUCAAAAGAGGAUUGCUUUCACCGCCCAAACAUGGACCUUAGGACGCUGAGGACGCUUAGGAGUGACUUGUGUGACUACAACCCUCCCACGGGCCGUGCAGACUGUAUAAACAUCUUGUUGUUUGGCACGGAGGGGUCUGGAACAACAUCUGUUAUCAACACAUUCCUCGCUGCUCUGUCUGAGGAUAGUGGAACUAUAACCCAGGUCCUGACCAGAGACAAUUCUGGCUCUCUAUCACAGCAGUUCAGAUCCUACAGAAAAGAGAAAUUACAGUUUUGGGAGCUACCUGGAUUGAGUGCACUGAAGAACGCAGAUCAGAGAAAGAGAGUGUUACAGAUGAUCCUGGAAGGAAGAGUUCCCCUUGGAACACAUUUGUAUGAAUUGGAACGUGACUGUAAUGUUAAUGAUCAUCCAGAAAAUCCGGAAAAUGAUAUUCAUGGAGUCGCAUUAAUUUUUGACGUCAGCACUAAGGACAUCAGUGACGACACAG